GAUGAAGAACGCAGCGAAAUGCGAUAAGUAGUGUGAAUUGCAGAAUUCAGUGAAUCAUCGAAUCUUUGAACGCACAUUGCGCCCCUUGGUAUUCCAUGGGGCAUGCCUGUUCGAGCGUCAUUUGUACCUUCAAGCUCUGCUUGGUGUUGGGUGUUUGUCUCGCCUCUGCGUGUAGACUCGCCACAAAACAAUUGGCAGCCGGCGUAUUGAUUUCGGAGCGCAGUACAUCUCGCGCUUUGCACUCAUAACGACGACGUCCAAAAGUACAUUUUUACACUCUUGACCUCGGAUCAGGUAGGGAUACCCGCUGAACUUAAGCAUAUCAAUAAGCGGAGGA
rnacentral:misc_RNA from 1 species